AUUUUGAAAAAAUUUUAUUUGAACGUUGGAUCAAAUCUUUGAUGCAGAGACCAAAUCUGCAUUCUUUGAAAAGUAAUCUUGGCAUUUUGUGUUGACUGAAUAUCCAUGACAUAUGUGAUUCUGAAAGUUAAGAUAUUAAAGUAAAGAAUUUUACAAAAAUGGAAGGGGCAAAGUCUGCCCAUAGAAAGAAAGAAGAUGGAACUUUGUCAAAUAAGAG
rnacentral:lncRNA from 1 species